rnacentral:lncRNA from 1 species
UCAUAACUCCCUCCUCACUUAAUCUUCAAUCCACUUUCCAUUAUCCUCCCUCUAGCGAACUUCCGUUUACGCAGCAGUCACACAUCCAACCACAACAACCUCACUGCCAUACCUUUUACAUGCCACAUCCAUCUCGGGUGAGUUCACACAACAUUGUACACCAUAAAAAAUCCUUUCACCACCAUCAACCUACACAAUCUCUGCCACUCCAUAAAAAUUGGUCGAGCUUCACACGACCAAAACAACCACCCAUUUUCAGGACAACCUCCUUCUUCAUAUUACGAAAAUCAUUCUCAGCAAACACCAAAACUAUCUCACCCGAUCUCCACUUCAAUCGCCAUAAAAAACUCACGCCACCAUUGGAACCAUCCAUAACCUUCAUGUGAAACUUGUUGAACCUUUAACAAACAUGUUUCCGUUUUCUCACUAUAAGAACCACACCAACAACCACUACUCGAAACACACUCACAACCAAGUCCAAUUUACCACCUUCAACAACCUUGUUCACUCACAAAACAGUCCCUCAACACCUUUGAAACUCCAACCACAACUAGAAUUCAUCAGUUAAAUGAUUAAAUGGCUUGAUUCUCCAUUUAUCAUCAGGAUUUAUGGUUUUUUAAAGAUCGUGAUCGAAGGAGGAGAAACAAUGAGAAACGAAAAUUGUUGUUAUGAUUCUUCCUAAAAGAUUUGAGAGCAACGAUUUUGACCGCUGCAACAACACCAUUUUGAUCUGCAACAUGACCAGUCGCCAGACGCCACCGCACCAUCGUUGCUCGCUUCAGUUUGCACCACUGUGCAUUCAAUUCGUCCUGUCAUUGGUCCGACCGGUAUUGUUUUCUUUUCAUGAAUGUUGUUUCAUUGAUCAAGGUAUAUUUGUGCUUUAAUUUUAGUUUGAAUUGGUUCGAAGAGAAAAGUAUAUGGUUGUUGUUUGUUUGAUUUGAAGAAUCACAGUUUUCAUUAUAUCUUUAAAAAACGAGGAAGAAGAGGAAUAGGAUUUAUUUUAAUUAUUUCUUGUUUUUGUUGUUUAUCGAAAGCCACUUGUCCACCGUUUAUUGGAGUCAUCUUAAAUUUGAAAACAUCAUAGCAUUGAGAAGGAUAAUUGAGAAGGAUAAGGAGGUUGCACCUUCUCUCCACAUUAGUUUUUUACUUUUUUGACUAAUGAGAGUUUAUUUUUAUUUUAUUAUUUUAUUAUUUUAUUAUUUUAUUAUUCUUCUUUUAUUAAUUAUUAUUGUUAGUUUAAAUUAGGUUUUUCUUUAUAUUGGGUUUGGGCUUCUUUCUUUAUUUUGCUACGCAUCCCCUUAACUCAAU